AGAGUUUGAUCCUGGCUCAGGAUGAACGCUGGCGGCGUGCCUAACACAUGCAAGUCGAGCGAUUCUCUUCGGAGAAGAGCGGCGGACGGGUGAGUAACGCGUGGGUAACCUGCCCUGUACACACGGAUAACAUACCGAAAGGUAUGCUAAUACGAGAUAAUAUGCUUUUAUCGCAUGGUAGAAGUAUCAAAGCUUUUGCGGUACAGGAUGGACCCGCGUCUGAUUAGCUAGUUGGUAAGGUAACGGCUUACCAAGGCGACGAUCAGUAGCCGACCUGAGAGGGUGAUCGGCCACAUUGGAACUGAGACACGGUCCAAACUCCUACGGGAGGCAGCAGUGGGGAAUAUUGCACAAUGGGCGAAAGCCUGAUGCAGCAACGCCGCGUGAGCGAUGAAGGCCUUCGGGUCGUAAAGCUCUGUCCUCAAGGAAGAUAAUGACGGUACUUGAGGAGGAAGCCCCGGCUAACUACGUGCCAGCAGCCGCGGUAAUACGUAGGGGGCUAGCGUUAUCCGGAAUUACUGGGCGUAAAGGGUGCGUAGGUGGUUUCUUAAGUCAGAGGUGAAAGGCUACGGCUCAACCGUAGUAAGCCUUUGAAACUGGGAAACUUGAGUGCAGGAGAGGAGAGUGGAAUUCCUAGUGUAGCGGUGAAAUGCGUAGAUAUUAGGAGGAACACCAGUGGCGAAGGCGGCUUACUGGACUGUAACUGACGUUGAGGCUCGAAAGCGUGGGGAGCAAACAGGAUUAGAUACCCUGGUAGUCCACGCC
rnacentral:rRNA from 1 species